CACGUAGUUAGCCGUCCCUUUCUGGUAAGUACCGUCACAGUGUGAACUUUCCUACUCUCACACUCGUUCUUCUCUUACAACAGAGCUUUACGAUCCGAAAACCUUACUUCACUCACGCGGCGUUGCUCGGUCAGGGUUGCCCCAUUGCCGAAGAUUCCCUACUGCUGCCUCCCGUAGGAGUCUGGGCCGUGUCUCAGUCCCAGUGUGGCCGAUCACCCUCUCAGGUCGGCUAUGUAUCGUCGCCUUGGUGAGCCGUUACCUCACCAACUAGCUAAUACAACGCAGGUCCAUCUCUUAGUGAUGCAAUUGCACCUUUCAAAUCAAUAUCAUGCGAUAUCGACUUUUAUGCGGUAUUAGCUAUCGUUUCCAAUAGUUAUCCCCCGCUAAGAGGCAGGUUACCUACGCGUUACUCACCCGUUCGCAACUCAUCCGCUCGGUGCAAGCACCAAGCUUCAGCGUUCUACUUGCAUGUAUUAGGCACGCCGCCAGCGUUCA
rnacentral:rRNA from 1 species